GAGCACUUCGCUGCUUGCUGGACAUGCUGUGUCAUAUUUGGUUCAUGCUAUGGAAUUGCUUUUCAAAAGUCCCCAAAUUUCCCUCUAAGGGGUUGUAGGCCUAUUGGGGUACUGGAUAUUGAUAUUCCACAGUGCUGCUCAUGCUGUAAAGGUUGAAAGCACAGUGAAAUUCGGUCGACAAUCUUUGGUACCGUGUUCUGGAAAUGAGAUGGUAUGCCUAGAUGGCCAGGUGAAAAAGGAGCUCUGCCAAGCAAGCCCCAAGGAGAUGUGCAGCCUCCACAGGAUGUUUUAUUAUUGGCUUCUGAGGAAGUGGAGAAAGCCACAAUUAUCAUGACUUUCUUGCAAGACUAUGCAUGCUGUGACCCCAGUUCACCCCGGAACUUCAUUCAACUCUACCACAUCUGAUGCUCCUGUGUUUCUGUCGCACUUGUGUUAUUUAGUUCCUUGAGUUAAGUCUUCAAACUGGCUCCCACCUCUGUAUAUGCUAUUGUCCUAUUGAUCUUCUGUUUAUAGUUUUUAUUUCUUAAAUGGAGAAGAGGGUACAACCCACUAUAAUCUCUUUUAUCCAAGUCACAUUGUAUAGGAUCUCAACUUGUUCUACUAGUUACUGCAAGUCUGAUAUGUGGCUUAUUAAAUUUAGUAAUUAUUAUUUUUGGCAGUGGGUCUAGAAAUGUAGAGAAGAAAUUCAGUGAUUUUAAUCAACAGGAUAUAUGUACAUCAUCUUAUGAAAUAUCAAUUAAAGAGUACUUGAAGCAAGUGUUGCCAAAGGCAGUGACUUCCAAAAUUUGGCAAAUCUGGAAAUUUCCCUGAUAAAUUGUGCUGAAAAAAAAAAAAAAACCAAAAACAACUUUCAUGUAAAAUGUAUAGAGAUUUGAGACAAAUAUAGGUAUAUGUUGGCUAUAAUUUAUCUUGUGCAUGGCUUAAUUCCCUUAUCUGAGAAACAAAUAAUAUUACUUCAGCUCCCCCAAUCCCUAAAUAUAGGGUUCAUGCUGCCUUGUAGCAGAUUUUUAAGAUCACCAUAGGCUUUUAUGAAAGCACAGAGAUUUCAACCAACAUGGUUUCCAGGAUUUCCAUCCACAAAGAAGUACGGCAUCCAGGUUUUUAUUGUUUAGUCACAAA